CUGUGAAUAUUCUCUCUGUUCUGGUUUUGUAAUAAUCAGGACAGACUGAACAUUCUCUAUAAUAAUAAGACUAUGCUUGUGUUCACAGACCUAGAUCUUUAUCCACCUAAGUCUGAUCUUCGAAAUGCUAGUGAUAAUU